CCAAACUUGGUCAUUUAGAGGAAGUAAAAGUCGUAACAAGGUUUCCGUAGGUGAACCUGCGGAAGGAUCAUUAACAAGUCCAUGUGCCUUGCAUGCAUGCAUUUGUGUGUGCAUGUGGGGGACAUUUGCUCCGUGUGCAUUCCGUGUGCACAUUGAACACAUUUCUGCAAAUUGUCUGAUUACAUUUGUUGAUUAACCAUUAAAUGACUUUUAACAAUGGAUCUCUAGGCUCCUGCAUCGAUGAAGAACGCAGC
rnacentral:misc_RNA from 1 species